AUACGGAGGGUGCGAGCGUUAAUCGGAAUUACUGGGCGUAAAGCGUACGUAGGCGGUUGGUUAAGUUAGAUGUGAAAGCCCCGGGCUUAACCUGGGAACUGCAUUUAAAACUGACGAACUAGAGUUGAGUAGAGGGGAGUGGAAUUUCAGGUGUAGCGGUGAAAUGCGUAGAGAUCUGAAGGAACACCAGUGGCGAAGGCGACUCCCUGGACUCGAACUGACGCUGAGGUACGAAAGCGUGGGUAGCAAACGGGAUUAGAUACCCUAGUAGUCC
rnacentral:rRNA from 1 species